AUGGCACGAAAAGGAAAUCCAAUUUCGGUAAGACUUGAUCUGAAUCAUAGUUCAGAUCCAAGUCAGUUCUGUGAGGGCGACCGCGAAAGUCACCGAAUGGGUUCGGUCCGUCUUUUCCUGAUCUUUGUUUGUCCCCCCAAAAAGCUGGAAGACCACAGGAAGAAACCCGGGACCAGAGCAUGUCGUGAAAGACGCACACGGGGCGGGCGUGCUUCGACCGUGUCUCCGGGGCACAGUUGA
rnacentral:rRNA from 1 species